GUAGACGGCACGUAAGAACCAGGAGACGUCGGCGAGGGCCCUGGAAAGAGUUAUCUUUCUUCUUACAGUCUGUCACCCUGAAAUCGAUUGUUCGGAGAUAGGGUUCCAUGGCUGGUAGAGCUCGGCACUUCUGCCGAGUCCGGUGCGUCCUCGACGGCCCUUGAAAAUCCUGGGAGCAAACAUUUCACGCCUGGUCGUACUGAUAACCGCACAGGUCUCCUAGGUUAACAGCCUCUAGUUGAUAGAAUAAUGUGGAUAAGGGAAUUCGGCAAAAUAGAUCCGUAACUUCGGGAUAAGGAUUGGCUCUAAGGGUUGGGUACAUCGGGCCCUGGUUGGAAGCCGCUGAUGCUGGCUUGGACUGCUGCGUGGCAACAUGCGGUGGACCGAGCCGGCGUCGGCGUGUGGACGGCCAGGGCAGUCCCUCGGGACGGCCGGUGUACGCUUAACAACCAGCUUAGAACUGGUACGGACAAGGGGAAUCUGACUGUCUAAUUAAAACAUAGCAUUGCGAUGGCCAGAAAGUGGUGUUGACGCAAUGUGAUU
rnacentral:rRNA from 1 species